rnacentral:rRNA from 1 species
AAGCUUGCUUUUUNNGUUAGCGGCGGACGGGUGAGUAACACGUGGGCAACCUGCCUGUAAGACUGGGAUAACUUCGGGAAACCGGAGCUAAUACCGGAUAAUCCUUUCCUACUCAUGUAGGAAAGCUGAAAGACGGUUUACGCUGUCACUUACAGAUGGGCCCGCGGCGCAUUAGCUAGUUGGUGAGGUAACGGCUCACCAAGGCGACGAUGCGUAGCCGACCUGAGAGGGUGAUCGGCCACACUGGGACUGAGACACGGCCCAGACUCCUACGGGAGGCAGCAGUAGGGAAUCUUCCGCAAUGGACGAAAGUCUGACGGAGCAACGCCGCGUGAGUGAUGAAGGUUUUCGGAUCGUAAAACUCUGUUGUUAGGGAAGAACAAGUACGAGAGUAACUGCUCGUACCUUGACGGUACCUAACCAGAAAGCCACGGCUAACUACGUGC